rnacentral:rRNA from 1 species
AUUGAACGCUGGCGGCAGGCCUAACACAUGCAAGUCGAGCGGCUGCAGGGAGCUUGCUCCUGGAUUCAGCUGCGGACUGGUGAGUAAUGCCUAGGAAUCUGCCUGUUAGUUUUGUAUAACGCCCGGACACGGGCGCUCAUACCGCAUACGUCCUGAGGGCGUACGUGUGGAAUCUUCGGACCUCCCGCUCUCAGAUGAUCCUAUGUCGGAUUAUCUAGUUGGUGGGGUAAAGGCCUACCAAGGCGACGAUCCGUAACUGGUCUGAGAGGAUGAUCAGUCAAAAUGGAACUGAGAAAAGGGCCAGAAUCCUAAGGGAAGCAGGAGUGGGGAAUAAUGGAAAAAGGGCGGAAGCCUGAACCAGCCAAGACGGGGGGGGGAAGAAGGGCUUUGGAGUUGAAAGGACCUUAAGUUGGGAGAAAAGGCAAGAAGUUAAUAACCUGGUGGUUUGAAGUGAACAAAAGAAUAAGGACCGGACAAAUUCGUG